rnacentral:rRNA from 1 species
UACGUAGGGACCAAGCGUUGUUCGGAUUUACUGGGCGUAAAGGGCGCGUAGGCGGCGUGACAAGUCACUUGUGAAAUCUCUGAGCUUAACUCAGAACGGCCAAGUGAAACUGUUGUGCUAGGGUGCAGAAGGGGCAAUCGGAAUUCUUGGUGUAGCGGUGAAAUGCGUAGAUAUCAAGAGGAACACCUGAGGUGAAGACGGGUUGCUGGGCUGACACUGACGCUGAUGCGCGAAAGCCAGGGGAGCAAACGGG